rnacentral:rRNA from 1 species
GACGAACGCUGGCGGCGUGCUUAACACAUGCAAGUCGAACGGAAAGGCCCUGCUUUUGUGGGGUGCUCGAGUGGCGAAAGGGUGAGUAACACGUGAGUAACCUGCCCUUGACUUUGGGAUAACUUCAGGAAACUGGGGCUAAUACCGGAUAGGAGCUCCUGCUGCAUGGUGGGGGUUGGAAAGUUUCGGCGGUUGGGGAUGGACUCGCGGCUUAUCAGCUUGUUGGUGGGGUAGUGGCUUACCAAGGCUUUGACGGGUAGCCGGCCUGAGAGGGUGACCGGCCACAUUGGGACUGAGAUACGGCCCAGACUCCUACGGGAGGCAGCAGUGGGGAAUAUUGCACAAUGGGCGGAAGCCUGAUGCAGCAACGCCGCGUGCGGGAUGACGGCCUUUGGGUUGUAAACCGCUUUCGCCUGUGACGAAGCGUGAGUGACGGUAAUGGGUAAAGAAGCACCGGCUAACUACGUG